rnacentral:misc_RNA from 1 species
GUGAGUCAUCGAAUCUUUGAACGCACAUUGCACUCUCUGGUAUUCCGGAGAGUAUGCUUGUUUGAGUAUCAGUAAACACCUCAAGUCUCUUCUCUAUUAGAGAAGAGAAUUGGACUUGAGCAAUCCCAACUCUUUGCAAAAAGAGGCGGGUUGCUUGAAAUGCAGGUGCAGCUGGACAUUCUUCUGAGCUAAAAGCAUAUUUAUUUAGUCCCGUCAAACGGAUUAUUACUUUUGCUCUAGCUAAUAUAAAGGUCGAAUGUACUAUACGCUGACUGAUGCAGGAUUACCAAGUUUUACCUA